ensembl:lncRNA
CACACACACACACACACACACACACACACACACACACACACACACACACACACACACACACACACACACACACACCCUUCCCUCCAUCCCCAGACUUUGCGAUGUGUUACUGUGAUGAUGCAGAGUGUAGUGGAAGGUGGAGAAUAAGACAACAGAAGACAGGUGAUGCUAAAAUGAACAUUUAUAAUGACUGCUGUUGCUCACUAGAUUGCCCACUUCACUGGUCAUCCACAUAAACACAACUCACUAGGUUUUUUUCUCUUUACAAACACAAUGCUACAAUUACAUUAAAUAUUCAAUACUCUUUAAGUCAGUUAAUGAAUGUUGUUAAAAGCAACCACUAAAAUACUAAAAAAAUGAACAAAAACAAAAAAUAAAACAAUAAUAUUAUUAAUUCACCUUUUUCCAGUCGUUCCCUUUAAACUCGUUGCCUUGUUAUUUAUUUAAUGAUAUCAUAGUCAUAUUUCUGAGAAAUAAAUAGCUAAUGUUGUGGUUCGGGCAUGGGGCAGGCAGCAUAAACCAUGAGUGGAGCUCAGAGCGAAGCGAUGAUGAUGCGGGCGGCGUCUACUCUAGUCUAAACGCAGUCACUUUAAUACUUUCAAUUGUCUCGGUUAAAGAUUUCAAAACAGAUAUGCAACUAGAACGAUUCUCACCGGUUUUGAGCAGGCACCGGCAGGCCACCCGCGGCGGUUAUCAUUCCUAAGAUAUCGUAAGCUAACGUAAGCUAACGUGAGCUAUCGUUCUACAUUAUGUAAACUAGGACUUUAUUGCACGAGAGACAGCAGCUCAGGUUCUUCCGUCAUUUCUUCCCCAGAAGCUUGGAGUUACUUUUUUUUGUUUUUCUGCUUUCUGGUCAGACGAUAAGUUGAGUCUACCUGUUUUCCAUGGUGAUAUGUCUCUAACACGACCAAGCGUUUCAAGAAAAAUGGCUUGAUGAACAAAAUGUACUAGUGUCACUCGGACUCACUGGCAGGAGAACAUUAACGAAUGUACAAAGCAAGCCGAUUUUUGAGAAUGGCUCGAACUACGUCUUAAGGUUAGUAAUAGUAUUAGAUCAGCACAGUCAUCUAAAGAUUUUGCUAGCUAACAUGAAAGCUAAACAGCGAAUACAGUAGGUAAAUCAACACUAAUAACAACAGCACAGGUUAACACAGUAGAACUAGCAUAGCCGAUUAUACAGGCAGACCUAACUAGCCGAUACAGGCAAUGACAGUGUAAUGAUUCCCGCCUUUUUUCGUUACUCUUUAUGCUGCCCGCCCCUUUCUGCUCAACAGACCUUUCUUUACAGCUCAGCAAAUAAAAUCGGACAAAAUAUUUACAAUGUGAGAGAAAAAAAAUAAAAAUUGUGGAGAAACAAUUAUUUAGUGUUAUUCUUUUUUUUGUUUGUCUGCAUUUCUUUUUCAGAUUUUUCUUUUUCUCUUUUAUCUCAGAAUUGUCCCCAAUGAUGAGCAAGGAACAAACAAACAAAAAAAUCCAAAUCGUAUCAGCUAGCAUUGCACAAUCUCCGAGAGGUGGUUUUUUUUGUGGGGGAGGGAUGGAAUGGAGCGUUAUCGUCCGAACAGUUGGAUGAACACAGAAGGGAGGAGGAGGAGGAGGAGGAGGAAGAAGGUCAAUUAAGUUCAUGAAGGGGGGUGAAAGUUCAAAGUUCAAGAAGACAGAGGAUGGCUGCGCAGCUGACGGUGGAUGCACUCCUCCCGCGACGCGCAGGGAUGGUGCGUGUGCCGGCGUGUGCGGUUUGAAUGUUUUAAAACGGCGACAACAACAACGAAAACAUAACAAAAUAAAAAAAUCAUCAUUAGGAAAAAAAAAAAUGGAUUUGUUUUGAAUCUUUCCCCAAUCGAGAAAAAUCAAAUGGAGCGAGAGCGAGAGACUCUGGUGGG